GUACCUUUAGCUCAGUUGUAGAGCAGACGGCUCAUAACCGUCCGGUCGUAGGUUCGAGUCCUGCAGGGUACA
rnacentral:tRNA from 1 species